GGGCACAUGGUGUAGUUGGUUAUCACGCCCGCUUAGCAUCUUUGAAUGUAUCUGCGGGCGGUCCCCGGUUCAAUUCCGGGUGUGUCCA